rnacentral:rRNA from 1 species
CUUGGUCAUUUAGAGGAAGUAAAAGUCGUAACAAGGUUUCCGUAGGUGAACCUGCGGAAGGAUCAUUAACGAGUAACUGAACAGGUUGUAGCUGGCCUCUCGGGGCAUGUGCACGCCUGGCUCAUCCACUCUUCAACCUCUGUGCACUUGUUGUAGGUCGGUAGAAGAGCGAGCAUCCUCUGAUGCUUUGCUUGGAAGCCUUCCUAUGUUUUACUACAAACGCUUCAGUUUAAGAAUGUCUACCUGCGUAUAACGCAUCUAUAUACAACUUUCAGCAACGGAUCUCUUGGCUCUCGCAUCGAUGAAGAACGCAGCGAAAUGCGAUAAGUAAUGUGAAUUGCAGAAUUCAGUGAAUCAUCGAAUCUUUGAACGCACCUUGCGCUCCCUGGUAUUCCGGGGAGCAUGCCUGUUUGAGUGUCAUGGUAUCCUCAACCUUCAUAACUUUUUGUUAUCGAAGGCUUGGACUUGGAGGUUGUGCUGGCUUCUAGUCGAGUCGGCUCCUCUUAAAUGUAUUAGCGUGAGUGUAACGGAUCGCUUCGGUGUGAUAAUUAUCUGCGCCGUGGUCGUGAAGUAACAUAAGCUUGCGCUUCUAACCGUCCUUCAGUUGGACAACUUACUUUGACAUCUGACCUCAAAUCAGGUAGGACUACCCGCUGAACUUAAGCAUAUCAAUAAGCGGAGGAAAAGAAACUAACAAGGAUUCCCCUAGUAACUGCGAGUGAAGCGGGAAAAGCUCAAAUUUAAAAUCUGGCAGUCUUGGCGUCCGAGUGAUCGGAAGUCC